CUUGACAUGUACGGAAGUCCGCUGAGAGGUGGAUGUGCCCGAAAGGGAGCCGUAACACAGGUGCUGCAUGGCUGUCGUCAGCUCGUGUCGUGAGAUGUUGGGUUAAGUCCCGCAACGAGCGCAACCCUUGUCCCUAGUUGCUACGCAAGAGCACUCCAGGGAGACUGCCGGUGACAAACCGGAGGAAGGUGGGGAUGACGUCAAGUCCUCAUGGCCCUUAUGGGUAG
rnacentral:rRNA from 1 species